rnacentral:rRNA from 1 species
GACGAACGCUGGCGGCGUGAUUAACACAUGCAAGUCGAGCGGAGCGGCGAACGGGUGAGGAAUACCUAGGAAUCUGCCUGGUAGUGGGGGAUAACGUCCGGAAAAGGGAGCUAAUACUGCAUACUAUAAGAUGAGGCUAGGUCGGAUUAGCUAUUUGGUGGGGUAAAGGCCUACCAAGGCGACGAGCAGUAACUGGUCUGAGAGUAUGAUCAGUCACACUGGAACUGAGCCACGGUCCAGACUCCUACGGGAGGCAGCAGUGGGGAAUAUUGGACAAUGGGCGAAAGCCUGAUCCAGCCAUGCCGCGUGUGUGAAGAAGGUCUUCGGAUUGUAAAGCACUUUAAGUUGGGAGGCGUUACCAACAGAAUAAGCACCGGCUAACUUCGUGCCAGCAGCCGCGGUAAUAC